CACCCAGAAUCCAAGCACCUGAGACAGGACCCCAGCGGCUCCACCAUGGACUUGGUGCCAAGCUGCGUUUUCCUCCUGAUCAUUUCUCAAGGUGUCCAGUGUGAGGUGCAGCUGGUGGAGUCUGGGGGAGGCCUGGUGCGGCCUGGGGGGUCUCUGAGACACUCCUGUGCAGCCUCUGGAUUCUCCUUCAGUAGCUACUGGAUGAGCUGGGUCCGCCAGGCUCCAGGGAAGGGGCUGGAGUGGGUCCCAGACAUUAAUGGUGGUAGUGAUGGUAGAACAUACUACACAGACUCUGUGAAGGGCAACUUCACCAUCUCCAGGGACAACGCCAAGAACUCGCUGUAUCUGCAAAUGAGCAGCCUGAGAGUGGAGGACACGGCUGUGUAUUAAUGUGUGAGA